AUAGAUGAAUAAAAUGAAAAUAAUAAUAGAAAGAAUGGUGAAGAAAACAAAGUCUUAACUUUGUUAUUCUUAGCCGAACCAAAAGGGAGAAAAAGGGGAGCAAACAUUCAGCCAUUUGAAACCUAAGGAAGCUCAAGAGCAUAGGGGGGCAAUUUCGAAUAAGGGAAAAGAGAAAGCAAUCGAGUAGCAUAUCCGCAGUUGUUCAAAUAAAUCCGAGAUUUUGUUCGUGAACUAUCGGACUCGGGAGAUCCAAAGUCGAAGUCGUCCACACUAUCUAAACCUUUUGGGUACUCUUGUAAAUGAACCUUGAUAAUGGCAUGUAUAGGAUUGACUUUUGAUGUUAAUUACGUAUCUUUUUGGUGAUGUAUAUAUGUAUAGCCAUGCGAAAAUGGCUUGUUAAGUUAUUAUAUGCGCUCCACAUAAUUAAUGUGUAUGUGUGGAUGAUAAUCGAUUAAUGUUUUAAAUGUUUUGAUGUGAAUUAAACUUAGGAAUGAA